GUCCACCCUUGCCUCUGAUUGGCUGUGAGAAGCGCGUGCUCAGACACGCUUUUAAGGGCAGCAUCGUUGCCGGGGCAGCGUUAACUGCCCACCGCCAUGUUUGUUUUCAGGCUCGGUGUGUGCUGAGAGCACAUAACCCACGAGAGGCCCUAGUAUGCAGAUGAGGAUGUGACAGUGAAUUUGGAGCGCCAGUCAACUCUGGAGGCAACAGAAGAACCAAACAGGAACUCUUAGCGAAGCAGAAAGAAGCUAAAGCAUUUUAAAACAUAUUGAGUGGGUAUCACUUCUUAUCUUGACAUGUUCUCAAAUAUCAUGGCACAGGAGAACCACGGUGGCAAUGUGGAUAUAAGAUCAAAAAAAGAUGGCAGCAACAGAGCAUGGAGCACCUCUGCAGGCUGUCUUCCAGUCUUCACAGCCACAUCCUGCUUCCCGCAGGUCCCACCCAAAGAUUCUCAGAGCUGCAGGAAUAAGAUUUUUUUCCAACUUCCUUCCUCAUGGUGACUCCUCAUGUCACUAUCUUUUUUUUUUUUUAAAGAUUUUUUUAUUUUUUCCCUUUUUCUCCCCAAAGCCCCCCAGUACAUAGUUGUAUAUUCUUCAUUGUGGGUCCUUCUAGUUGUGGCGUGUGGGACGCUGCC